AGUGAACGCUGGCGGUAGGCCUAACACAUGCAAGUCGAACGGCAGCACAGUAAGAGCUUGCUCUUACGGGUGGCGAGUGGCGGACGGGUGAGGAAUACAUCGGAAUCUACUUUUUCGUGGGGGAUAACGUAGGGAAACUUACGCUAAUACCGCAUACGACCUACGGGUGAAAGUAGGGGAUCUUCGGACCUUGCGCGAUUGAAUGAGCCGAUGUCGGAUUAUCUAGUUGGCGGGGUAAAGGCCCACCAAGGCGACGAUACGUAGCUGGUCUGAGAGGAUGAUCAGCCACACUGGAAAUGAGACACGGUCCAGACUCCUAAGGGAGGAAGCAGUGGGGAAUAUGGGACAAUGGGCGAAAGCCUGAUCGAGCAAUACCGCGUGGGUGAAGAAGGCAUUCGGGUGGUAAAGCCCUUUUGUAGGGAAAGAAAAGCAGAAGGUUAAUACCCCGCUGUUCUGACGGUACACAAAGAAUAAGCACCGGAUAACUUCGUG
rnacentral:rRNA from 1 species